UACGGAAGGCAGCAGUGGGGAAUAUUGCACAAUGGGCGAAAGCCUGAUGCAGCUAUGCCGCGUGUAUGAAGAAGGCCUUAGGGUUGUAAAGUACUUUCAUCGGGGAGGAAAAACAAAACUAAUAAUUUUAUUUCUUGACGUUACCCGAAAAAGAAGCACCGGCUAACUCCGUGCCAGCAGCCGCGGUAAUACGGAGGGUGCUAGCGUUAAUCAGAAUUACUGGGCGUAAAGAGCACGUAGGUGGUUUUUUAAGUUCAGAUGUGAAAUCUCUGGGCUUAACCUGGAACUGCAUUUUGAAACUGAAAUACUAGAGUAUCGUAGAGGGAGGUAGAAUUCUAGGUGUAGCGGUGAAAUGCGUAGAUAUCUGGAGGAAUACCUGUGGCGAAAGCGGCCUCCUAAACGAAUACUGACACUGAGGUGCGAAAGCGUGGGGAGCAAACAGGGAUUAGAUA
rnacentral:rRNA from 1 species